UACGUAGGAUGCAAGCGUUGUCCGGAUUUAUUGAGUUUAAAGGGUGCGACGGCGGCCUAUUAAGUUAGUGGUGAAAACGUUCGGCUUAACCGGAUACCCGCCAUUGAUACUGAUAGACUUGAGUGCGACAGAGGGUGUUGGAAUGUGUGGUGUAGCGGUGAAAUGCUUAGAUAUCACGCAGAACACCAAUUGCGAAGGCAGAUGCCUAUGUCGUAACUGACGCUGAGGCACGAAAGCGUGGGGAGCAAACAGG
rnacentral:rRNA from 1 species